GAAAUCUCUGAGGUAUCCAUCACUGUCUUCAUGUGAACGAGGGGGGGAGGAGGAGAGGAUUUCCUGUCUUCUGGCAUCCUCUAAAGGUUGGUAUUUGGAAGGAUAAGCUCUUCAGAAGAGAUGCUGCUGGUAUUUCUUCCUUAGGAAGCAUCCCCAAGGGCUCCAUGGGACCGCAGAACAACUCAGGAUGAAGGAGACCUUGGGCUUAGCACCUUGUCCAUCCUCCGGAUAAUCCUUCACCAAAAUGCCACGUAGGAGUCCCACCACUGCUGUCUGUUCUUUUCACUGUACAGAGAGUGGUGGGAUCAGGACAUUGCAGUAGAAUGUUUGUACAGUUUUACUACUGAAGGAGAAAAAAAGAAGUCUGGCUGGCACUCUUACACGCCAGGACAGAUCAGGCAUGACCCAGUGCUCCAAGGAGUCAUUUCUUUCCUCCUCAAGGCAACUGCACAGCACAUCUUUCUGGAAGGUCUACAGAUAAUCACCCCUCACUGUUACCCACUAUGAACGAUUCCAUAUUCUCUAUGUGUACAUUUAAUACAUCCCUUUAAAUUGAUGCAGAAUGCUGGGGAUCCCCACUCUUUUUCUCUUAGCUCUUUAACGUGACUGAUGAACAGUUGGCUAAUCCCUUCCCUCAGUAUGAGCAUCUUCGAGUCAGAAUCAGUGGAAAGACCCCGAGGAAAUUAUUUUUGGCCUCCUAGUCAUAAAGGAGUAGGUCAUGCAAACCAAACA
rnacentral:lncRNA from 1 species